AUGCAAAUUCAAUCACUAGCCCUAUGUGAUGUGGCAGAAGCUAGGGGAACCAGGCUUGCUAAACUAAUUGUGGUAAUAGGCAUUCAUUAGCCUCAGAAGCGACUGAGGUGUCCAUUUCAUCCAGUAGAGUG
ensembl:snoRNA SNORA66 Small nucleolar RNA SNORA66